rnacentral:rRNA from 1 species
GCCUAACACAUGCAAGUCGAGCGGCAACGCGAGUAGUAGAGAUGCUAUUUGGCGGCGAGCGGCGGACGGGUGAGGAAAGCGUAAGGACCUGCCUAGUAGAGAGGGUUACCCAUUGGAAACGAUGGCUAAUACCGCAUGAACUCGGGAGAGGAAAGUUGCUUGAGACGGUGACGCUACUAGAGGGGCUUGCGUCCGAUUAGCUAGUUGGUGGGGGAAAGGCCUACCAAGGCGAUGAUCGGUAACUGGUCUGAGAGGACGACCAGUCACACUGGGACUGAGACACGGCCCAGACUCCUACGGGAGGCAGCAGUGGGGAAUAUUGGACAAUGGGGGGAACCCUGAUCCAGCGAUGCCGCGUGGGUGAAGAAGGCCUUCGGGUUGUAAAGCCCUUUAGGUUAGGAGGAAGGGUGUUGGAGGAAAUGCCGACAUUUUGACGGUACUGACAGAAUAAGCACCGGCAAACUUCGUGCCAGCAGCCGCCGUAA